AAGUAGGGGGCGAGCGUUAUGCGGAAUGAAGGGGUGUAAAGGGUAUGUAGGCGGCCCUUCAAGUCGCGUGUCAAAGUCCAGUGCUCAACGCUGGGUGUGCACGCGAUACUGACGGGCUUGAGGGCUGGAGAGGUGAGCGGAAUUCUCGGUGUAGUGGUAAAAUACGUAGAGAUCGGGAGGAACACCAGCGGCGCAGGCGGCUCACUAGACAGUUUCUGACGCUAAGAUGCGAAAGCGUGGGGAGCAAACAG
rnacentral:rRNA from 1 species